rnacentral:lncRNA from 1 species
UUUAGCACUUGGUUCUGUUGGCUGGGAAAUUCAGGAUCAGGCAGCUGUAUCUGGUGGGUUCUCAUGACUGCCUCAUGCUGCAUCAAAACAUCGUAGAGAAACAGAAGGGGACCGAGUUUGUGCAAACAAAAAGCGCAAAAUAGAAGAGGCAGCACUGUUUUAUAACAACUCACUCUCUUGGGAACUAACCAUUCCCAGGAGAACCCAGUCUCAGUGUCAAGAGAAAGAUGUUAAUCCAUCUUAGCAACCUAAUUACCUCUUAAAAGCAGCAUCUCCCAACACUAUUACAUUGGCAAUUGAACUACAACGUGAGUUUUGGAGGGGCCAAACAACAUCCAAACCAUAGCAGCAGGUUUAAAGGUAAAAGGAUGGGAGAAAAGUACACAGAAAGAUAUUCUGGAGAAAAGGCACAGAGUGAGCCAAGGCACAAGGUAAAAUGUUUGACUGGUUAGAGACGCUAGAUUAUUUUGUGUGGCUAAGACAAAACAAAGCUGGUGGGGAGUGGCAGGAGGUAAGUCUAGAAUGGCACAAUGGGGCCAGACUGCGAAUGGCAAACUGAAGUAUGUGAUCUUUUAUUCUAAAGAAAAUGUAGUAUGAUUAGCACAAAAAAAAGAAAAAUUAUUGGCCGGGCGCAGUGGCCCAUGCCUGUAAUCCCAGCACUUUGGGAGGCCGAGGAGGGUGGAUCAUGAGGUCAGGAGUUCAAGACGGUGAAACUCCAUCUCUACUAAAAACACAAAAAUUAGCCAGGAGCUGUGGCAGGUGCCUGUAAUCCCAGCUACUCAGUAGGCUGAGGCAGGAGAAUCACUUGAACCCGGGAGGUGGAGGUUGCAGUGAGCUGAGAUCGCGCCACUGCACUCUAGCCUGGGCGACAGAGCAAGACUAAAAAUAAAAAUGAAAAAAUUAUUAUCCAUGGUAUUAUCAUGGUAGUACUGACUAAAAGAGGGACACGUGUAACAAAAUCAGUAAGGAGGGUACUCCAAGAAUCCAUGUUAAAGUUAAUGAGGGCUCGAACCCAAACAUAAAGGAUGGAAAUGAUGUAAUAAAAUACCUUUUGAAAGUUAUAUUUAAAAAUUUUUGGUGAAUAGUCUAGUUAGAGGUGAAAGAAGAAAGCAGAGGAGUCUAAUGCAAUGCGUGACUUGUAGCUCAGGUAAAGGGGUGGCAGGUGACGCUUAAAUACUAGAAAUAUAAGAAGCAGCACAGGUUUGGUUUUAUCUGUGAGAACAAUGGAGUGGAGGUAUGCUUUAGAUGCAAUUAUUUAUGGGAUAUUCAAAACAGAUAUCUAUGAAGCAAAAAACUUGGGCCCAAAAAACAAGUUUGAAGGUAUAUUUGGGAGUUACCAGUAAUAUAGGUAACUGUUGAAGCUCUAAAUAUAGAAGACAAACUAGAGGAGCUUGUUUCUUGAAGAAUUCUUGUCACACUUGACAUUUUUUACAGAGAUUUCUUAAAACAGGGGCAUAUCUUCUUUGGCUAACAUAUGCAGACUAAAAUGAAAGAGUAUAGUAUAUUAUAAAAUCAAUAAAAGGUAAGAUAAAUUGAGGCCUAAAAAUAAAGAAUAAAUACACUCAGUUGAUUCUGAAGCUCUAAUUUACAGAUGCAAAAUUGUACCAGUACAUUAACUCAUAUGUCAAAACAACAUCUAGAGAAACAAAAAAUGAAAGUAAAAUGGAAAAAGAUAAAAGAAGAGAGGCAAGGAGAAGAGAAUGGGCAAAAGGAGAUAGGAAAAACAGGAAUUUUUUUUUAAAGGGCUAAAAUUUUAGUGAAUCAGAUGUGGAAAACAGUUGGAUUAACAUUGAGAUCAAAUGAGAAAGGAGCAAAUAAGGAAAGAUGUAUUACAAACCAAGAGUAAAAAAGGGAAAACAAAAUAACAAAAGCAAAAACUAUUUAAAAAGAAUAAAGGAAGACGUGAUAAUGAAGUAAAUUUAAAAAGUACGGAAUAAUAAAAAGAAAUUGCAAAAAAUACCUUUUGAAAAUAAACAUACUAAUAACUUGACAAUAAAGUGAAAUGUGUAAGACAAACAUAUCUGUGUCAUUAUUUAGGAGUAGUGAAAAGUACUCUUAAAUAAUAAUUUGGUAUCUAGCAGGCCUGGAUUUGAAUCUACUUUAACUUGCUAGCUAUGUGACCUUGGGCAAGCAAAGAAACUCCUCAUAACCAUUGUAAUAAUACCACCAAAAUGCCUUACACUUACGGCUCAAAAAAUGAAGGAAAUGAGAGAAAAAAGUAUAGAUUACUAUAUGGAAGUCAAAUUUCUAGUGACUUUUCUAAUCCAAACAUGAAUUGUUACAGUACUUGAAAUAAACUUUAUGAGAACUGAGUGACUACAUUGCUUCAGAUAGUUUUAUACUGCUAGGUCAACGCUGCCUGACAGUAAUAAGAACAGGAUGUGGGAUUCAAUAUGCUCAUUCUAUCUCAAACUCUGUCACACAUACAAUGACUGCUAUUUACCUUCCUCCUGAGCCAUCUGGGAAAAAACCAACCAACCAAACAAACAAACAAAAGAAAAACCCACCAGGUAGGAGUCAGUUAGUUCUGCUAACUAACUAACCAAAAACCUUAAUUGUAUGGCCACCAGCACCCUAGCCCUUUGUCAUGAAAGCUACCAAUAAGGUGGAAAUUUAAAAUAUGAAAUAUUUCAUUAUACAUGUUUUAUUAAACCCUACAUGUGCAGAAAUGAUUGUCCAUUUUCCUUCUUAACUUGCUUUUGUAAGACUUAUUAAGUAGAAAAUAUAAAUCUCAAGCUCCUUAAAUGUGAUUUUGAGGAACUGAGACCAAAACAAUUUUUUGCUGUGGAACCAGAUCCUUGAAUGCACUACAGGAAAAUAUUAUUUGAUAUGAAAUUUUUUUGAGUAGUUCUAUGUCUUUACUUCCUAGUGGUUUACACACUCUUUAACCCAUAUGGCAAUCUGGCUUCUGUCUCCGGUGCUCUGGAAUUACUUCUGCCUGUAUGAUUAAGUUCCUCAUUGUUAAAUUCGAAAAUACAUUCUUUGGUAUUUAUUUGACCUCUUGGUGGUAAUAUAGUGUAAGAGCACAGACUCUGGAGCCAAACUGCCUAGGUUCAAAUCUUAGCUCUAUUACUUUCUAACUCUGUGACUUUGGGCAAAUGACUUAACUCUCUCAUGCCUCAAAGCAGAAUCCUUUGUAAGGUUUAUUUAUAUAGUGGUGUAAAGAGUACUUACUUCAAAAGCUUUGGUCAGUGUGAGAAAUAAGCUCCUAACAAAGAAAGUGUUAUGUAAUAGUUAUUAUCUGGUACCUCUGAUCACAUCAUUUUUGAAAAUCACUUGAAAUCUGCCUAAGUUUCAUUCUGCCUUUGAUGGCUCCUUAUUUUCAUCUCCCUACUUCAGGCUUCCUCCCUAAUAUAUCUUUUAUGCCAAUAUUAUGAUCACUUGAAACUAUAAAUCUGAUGCCAUCCUUGGCCACUACCAUUAAGAUGGUCUAAACUCCUCAGCAUGAUAGACAAGUCCCUUUAUGAUAGUGUACCCAUCUAGUUCUCAUUCCUCAAGUCUCCUCUGUUGUCUAUGCUUACCCUAUGGGCUAAGCUGAAUCAAGCUGUUACAUUUCCAAAACAUGCCUCACUGUCUUUAUUCAUGCCUUUGCACAUGCCAUUGACUCUUCCUAGAAUGCCCCAUUCUCCUUCUCUAGAAAGUCUUCUCUUAACAUACUUCUUCCCAAAAUAAAUUAGGUGUCCUUUCUUAAUAUGCCUCCAAUAACCCCAUACAGUAUUUAUCCCAUUCUAUUUUAGAUGCCAGUUUGGUUGAUGAUACAUUUCAUCUAGUCAGAUCUUCCCACUGCCUCUUAUAAAGAAAACCAGGAGCCAUAUUAUGAUAUUCUUGUUCUCUAAUUUUUCUGCUGCCCUGAUCUUAAACCACUUUCUUCUCCCUUUGUUGACAAUUACCCCACCCCUUAUUUCUUAAUUAGCUCAACAAGAUUAGAUAGAAAUGUAUCUACAAAGGAUAUAUGUAUAUAAAUUAACUAGAUAACAAAACUUCACACUGAAGUGAACAUUCUACAAGUAUUUCUUUCAUUGCUGACCAUUAGGUUGCAGCAUGCAACUCUCAACAAUGAGCUGCCCCUCUCCACUCCUAUAGAAGCUCCAAAUACUAUGGUACCACUAUGUAGGUUUUCAGCCUUUCAAAGGCUUUUAUUAUGAACUUCAUCAUUACUUCAGCAGGAGCCUUUUAGGGACUUAAAAGCACUGAUUAUCUAUAAAAAGUAACUUCAUAUUUCAUGCACAAAAUUCCCAAUUGGCAGAUUUAGGUCCAUAAAAGAAAGGAAAAAAAUUAUUCUAGCUAUAUAAAUUAUCAGGAAUAAAAUAGCAUUUCUCCUUGCCUUGUUAUAAGGAAAUAAUAUAUUUUUCCUUACCAGGAAUCAGGAUAGUAUCUUUGAUGAUCCCUCAGGGUUAUAAAAUUGCUUACUGGUUAAAGUUUUUUGCCAAAGAUAUUAAGAAAUAAAAAGUUCGCUCAUUUUCCUGUGCAAUUUAAAGAAAUAUUUGCAGUAUGUACAGGAAUUUUAAGUUAUAUUGCAGACCCUGGCAAUAAUAUUUAAAAGGCCUAUUUUCCCCAUUAAAAAAUUUACCCCAUUAAAAAAGGUAAAAGGAAAUCUCCAUCAUCCCUGAGCAGAAAAGGAAAAAAUCAUGGGUACUUUAAUUAGUUAAUAGAAACCACUGUAAAUGAGUUAUCUAUCUCCAGAACAUUCUCAGAGAAUUUACACGAACUAAAACAGGAAUGAAGUGCUCUCAGAGACUUUUUCUCAGGUAAAUGUAUUUAGUAGUUUGAGUAGUUGAUCUGCAGAAACUUUAACUUUAAUUAACUACAUAGAUGAAUAUUUUUUAUUUUGAAAUUUGAGAAUGUCCUAAGAGGAUGUCUACAGGAUAUGAAACUACUGGGUGCAGGAAAAUUUUUUAAGUGUUAGCAAAUUGUGGCAAG